GAGUUUGAUCAUGGCUCAGAUUGAACGCUGGCGGCAUGCCUUACACAUGCAAGUCGAACGGCAGCAUGAUCUAGCUUGCUAGAUUGAUGGCGAGUGGCGAACGGGUGAGUAAUACAUCGGAACGUGCCCUGUAGUGGGGGAUAACUAGUCGAAAGAUUAGCUAAUACCGCAUACGACCUGAGGGUGAAAGUGGGGGACCGCAAGGCCUCAUGCUAUAGGAGCGGCCGAUGUCUGAUUAGCUAGUUGGUGGGGUAAAGGCCCACCAAGGCGACGAUCAGUAGCUGGUCUGAGAGGGCGAUCAGCCACACUGGGACUGAGACACGGCCCAGACUCCUACGGGAGGCAGCAGUGGGGAAUUUUGGACAAUGGGGGCAACCCUGAUCCAGCAAUGCCGCGUGUGUGAAGAAGGCCUCGG
rnacentral:rRNA from 1 species